CCUACGGGUGGCAGCAGUCGAGAAUCAUUCACAAUGGGGGAAACCCUGAUGGUGCGACGCCGCGUGGGGGAAUGAAGGUCUUCGGAUUUUAAACCCCUGUCAUGUGGGAGCAAAUUAACAAUAUAUUACCACAAGACGAAGAGACGGCGAACUCUGUGCCAGCCGCCGCGGUAAUACAGAGGUCUCACGCUGUGUUCGGAAUCACUGGGCGUAAAGCGUGCGUAGGCUGUUUCGUAAGUCGUGUGUGAAAGGCGCGGGCUCAACCCGGGGCCGGCACAGGAUACGGGGAGACUAGAGUGAAGGAGGGGGAAGCGGAAUUCGUGGUGUAGCAGUGAAAUGCGUAGAUA
rnacentral:rRNA from 1 species